AAAUUACAGAGCUCUCUUUGUUCCCCAUAUCUUGGCUGCAGGGAGGAAAAAGCUGAGCAGCGACGUGAUGCGGAACUUCUUUACCUUGGCCAAGUCUCUGGGUUUCCGCCAUGAAUACAUCGACUUCACUAUACCAGUUGCUGGAUGCAGCAUUGACUACCUUGACUGAAUAGGCAGCGCCCCCUGUCUCUACGCUGUGUUCCCCCAUCGCUUCAGCCCGAGGUGCCAUCUGGUUGACCCACCUGCCAGAGUGUCAGUGAGAGAGCUGGAAGACACUUCCUACAGCAAGGUGCUGCCCACCAUUCCCUUCUGAUGAGUCCAAUUUUUCUUUAAAUAAACCCUUGCUACUGAGCC
rnacentral:lncRNA from 1 species